rnacentral:rRNA from 1 species
UAGCCGUAAACGAUACUCGCUAGGUGUCGGCCACGGUGCGACCGUUGUCGGUGCCGUAGGGAAGCCGUGAAGCGAGCCACCUGGGAAGUACGGCCGCAAGGCUGAAACUUAAAGGAAUUGGCGGGGGAGCACAACAACGGGUGGAGCUUGCGGUUUAAUUGGAUUCAACGCCGAAAAACUCACCAGCAGCGACUGUUACAUGAAAGUCAGGUUGAUGACCUUACUAGAUUUCAGAGAGGUGGUGCAUGGCGUCAGUGACU